rnacentral:rRNA from 1 species
AGUGAACGCUGGCGGCAGGCCUAACACAUGCAAGUCGAACGGAAGCACGGUGCUUGCUUGCGGUUACAGCGGGGGACUGGCGGGCGGUUCAGGAGAAUAUCCGUGGCUGCUGUUUCGUAGGGCCUAAAGCAGGGGCACUUACGCCAUUAGCGCAUACGACGUACGGGGGAGAGCAUCGGAUCUUCCGACCUUGGGUGAUUGAAUGCGCGGAUGUCGGAUUAGUUGGUUGGAGGGGUACUGGCCCACCAAGGCGACGAUCCGUAGCUGGUCUGAGAGGAUGAUCAGCCACACUGGAACUGAGACACGGUCCAGACUCCUACGGGAGGCAGCAGUGGGGAAUAUUGGACAAUGGGCGCAAGCCUGAUCCAGCCAUACCGCGUGUGUGAAGAAGGCCUUCGGAUUGUAAAGCCCUUUUGUUGGGAAAGAAGAGCAGUAGGUUAAUACCACGCUGUUUUGACGGUACCCACAGAAUAAGCACCGGCUAACUUCGUG